AAAGGGCGUAUGGGGAAUGCCUAGGCUCUCAGAGGCGAAGAAGGACGUGAUAAGCUGCGAAAAGCUACGGGGAUUGGCACAUACAAACUGAUCCGUAGAUAUCCGAAUGGGGCAACCCAGCAUGUUGAAGACAUGUUACACCGAAAGGUGAGCAAACCCGGAGAACUGAAACAUCUAAGUACCCGGAGGAGAAGAAAACAA
rnacentral:rRNA from 14 species